ensembl:snRNA U6 U6 spliceosomal RNA
GUGUUUGCUUUGGCAUCACAUAUACUAAAAUUGGAAUGAUACGAGAAGGUUAGCAUGGGCCCUGUGCAAGGAUGAUAUGCAAAAUUUAUGAAAUGUUCUACAUUUCA